rnacentral:rRNA from 1 species
CCUACGGGCGGCAGCAGUGGGGGAUAUUGCACAAUGGGGGCAAGCCUGAUGCAGCGACGCCGCGUGAACGAAGAAGUAUUUCGGUUUGUAAAGCCCUAUCGACAGGGAAGAGCAGAUGACGGUACCUGACUAAUAAGCAACGGCUAACUACGUGCCAGCAGCCGCGGUAAUACGUAGGUGGCAAGCGUUGUCCGGAUUUACUGGGUGUAAAGGGCGCGCAGUCGGGCUGGCAAGUCAGAUGUGAAAUCCGGGGGCUCAACCGCCGAACUGCAUGUGAAACUGCCGGUCUUGAGUAUCGGAGAGGCAGGCGGAAUUCCUAGUGUAGCGGUGAAAUGCGUAGAUAUUAGGAGGAACACCAGUGGCGAAGGCGGCCUACUGGACGGUGACUGACGCUGAGGCGCGAAAGCGUGGGGAGCAAACAGGAUUAGAUACCCUAGUAGUC